UACGAAGGGGCUAGCGUUGUUCGGAAUCACUGGGCGUAAAGCGCACGUAGGCGGAUUUUUAAGUCAGGGGUGAAAUCCCGAGGCUCAACCUCGGAACUGCCUUUGAUACUGGAGAUCUUGAGUCCGGAAGAGGUAAGUGGAACUGCGAGUGUAGAGGUGAAAUUCGUAGAUAUUCGCAAGAACACCAGUGGCGAAGGCGGCUUACUGGUCCGAAACUGACGCUGAGGUGCGAAAAGCGUGGGGAGCCAAACAGGG
rnacentral:rRNA from 1 species